UUCAAAGUGGAGUGGGUCCAGGUGGAACAUGAAUCAGUAUUGGAACUAAGUUAAGAUUGUUGGUUUAAUUAAGAUAAGACGUGUCUUUGAAGUUACAGCAGUAAUCUAUCAAAGUUUACUGAAGGUCAAAUAAGCUUAUGUUACUUGUUAAAAUUUGUUAGCAAAGGAAUGACUAAACUGAUGGUUAAUUGUCUGUCUCAAAGUUCUAAUGGCUAAUUGCUGAAGUAGCUUUCAAAGUCUUUGGUAACCUGAAAGUUUUAAAGUUUUGCUUGGAUGACAAGUGGAAUUAAAUUGUGGACAUCUAGGUCUUAACCAAACAGGAUAAAAUGCUAAGUCAUUAAUUACUGGAUGUAGGUUUGUGCUUUUUUACUUACUGCAAAGAAACUAAGAGUAUUUAAAUCUGCUGGUAAGCUUGUUUUCUACUUAACUGAUUCAUAAAUUGCCACCUGAAGAAUUCUGUUGUAACAGUUCACAAUUGGUUAAUAACUAAAGGUGUUUCUAAGAAUACAAAGUUCUGCUUAGUGUAACUAAGACUGAUGGAAAUAAAAGGAAACUCUAGGAAAGUAGAUGAUAUGUAAGAAAGAUUUAAGGAAUGGGAAUACAUUUUGUUGAAGGUAAGGGAAGGUAAUUUUGUCCUAAAUGAGAUGGUUGUUUGGAAGGAAAUGGCUUGGGACAAAACCUGAAUGCAAAGGAAAGUUGUAGAAGGUUUGUGAACGGAAAUCUUCACAAAAGAAAUUUUAGAUAUGGUCAGGACAGACUAAAAAAAGAAAGAAAAACAGCCUCCAAGGUGAUUUAGCACUCUCCUGACCUGCCUCCACACAGAUUAUACUUCCAAGUAUAAGGGCCAUUUGGCCUUGAGAGAUUAAGGAAGCAGCCCAACCAUGAGGGACUGGGAAAACACCCUGUUACCAUCCUCCUUUGCCUGUAACCAUAGAAACUCACUCUAAUCUGUAAAGAAUGAAAGGGGAGACUGAUCACCUCCCAUUAGCCAGAGACGCCCAAAAGGGGAGGGUAUCCAACCUGUUUGAAUCUGAAGAGUGCCUGACUGUGUGAAUGUGUCUGUAUGGCUCCACCACUUUGGCUACGGAGUCUGAGGGGGCUGCACCUUGAGUCUCGCGGGGCGUCAUAUGGCAUAACGGUCAUCUACUCCACGGAGUAGCCUGGUCCGGGGUUUAUGCGGACAGGCCUUAGCUAAGACGCUCCUAAAUUCCCAUGAGGGAUGCAAACAGGACAGCAGGGGAAAGAUCCCCCCCCUCCUUUGUCUGCGACAUCAUUCAUGAUAGGAGGGAAACCCAGAAAACUCCUAUCUUAAGACUGCACACUUAGAAGUAAAAUUAAAAAAGGGAAAGACACUGGUAUAAAAAGCUGGUUUUCUUUCUGUUUAAAAGGGGCAAAGUUUUCUUAGCUAAUUGAUCUGUUAAAAAGUGUAAAUGGUUUUCUCUUUGCCUGCCUGAAAAAUUCAGUUCCUAUGUUUUGUUUUAUCAGGUGUUUAACAUCCCUAAUUAUAUUUAGGCAUGUGUUUUUAAACUUUCUAAGGUUUUAGCAAUUGUUGACAAGAUUUAAACCAAUGAUAAACCUUGGGUUACAUUUGGGAAAAAUGCUAUAACUAUUCUAGAGAUUCUAUGCAUUUCCUAAAGUUUUAAUGUUUUGAGAGAUCAUCGCUUGAUAUUAUAAUUAUGGAAAUGUUAUAUAUCACAGAAAUUGUAACCUGAUUUUCUUGCAGCUAAAUUGUAAACUCCUGUGUCUCUUUAGCUCUAACCAUAUCCAUUCUGAGUUUUUGUCAUUUAUAAUUGUUUUAAUUCUCUGGUAAAAUGAGUUUUAUCUUCAAGGAUAUUCCUAUAAAGGACUUUCAGGACAAAUACAGAUAUUUGAUAUACUUGAAAGUCCUAAAACUGAAAUGGGUAAGAAUUUCCAAAACUGACUAAAGCCACAUUCACCAGAUUUAGUAACAUGGGACUAAAUGAACUAAAAGAUUAUAGUGUUGUGUCUGUUAAUAUUUUGUCUUACUUUAAACAUUGCUGGUUCUCUCUACUGUUUACUCUUACAGACUAGGGAUACUCCCUCCUAGUUAUCUGUAACUUAUAGAGAUGUAAAAGUGCUCAUUUGUAAAAAUGCUCAAAGCAUUCACCUUUUCUCUUUAUCUGAACCCUCUGAAACCAAAAGGUCUCAGUAAGCAUUCUUCUAUGGCAAUCAGUCAUUUGCAUAAGUUCAAUAAGAAUCUGUUCUCCUUGUAACAGGACACCAUUGGAAACUGGUUAUUUUACCAAGGCUUUGACUGGAAUGUCAUAUUUGAGAAAGAUAUGCAUAAACUCAGAUAUGACCAGACAGCUUUAAGAAACUAAGGUUGACUUUAUGAAACCUGGAGCCAUAAAGCCUCUUGGGACUGUUGGCCUGAUACCUUGCUUACAGAGUUCCCAGCAGCCUCACCAGUGUUUCUCUACUUGGUGCCGAGACUCCAUUGCUGCAAUGACUUCACCACGACAGAUGAUCCUUACCACGCGCAAAGACACUCCUUCACUGUCAGCGCUGGAUUCAGCUGCCUCCGCCUUUCGUAACUCCCCUAUACAUUCCUCCACUGAUCAAUGUUGACCUGAAUAGGUAGGGACAGCUCUACGCCCCUAUUCAGCAUGAAGAAGUUACAGAAGAUGAGACCUUCCACCUUCAACCACCUUAAAGAUUUAAGAGUCAAAAUUGUUCAGGGGGAAAUGAUGAAGGAGCAGGAGGCUGGCUGAGGAUGGAGAAGGGGCUGAUGCCUUGCACCCCCUCUUCACCCUUCUCCACCGCGAAAACUGGUUCAACAGAUUGCCUUGGCUUACUACUUUGUUGUCAUCUAUAACGGGCGCUCUCAUCAUUCUGUUAUUAAUUCUAACUUUUGGUCCUUGUGUCUUAAACAGGUUAGUACAGUUCAUUAAAGAUCACCUGUCUGUUGUUCAGACUAUGGUACUGACACAGCGAUACCAACUCCUCAAGCAAAUAGAGCCCCGGACUAGCUCAAUGCAAGGGCAGGACAUGCAAGAACAAGACGAAUGGAUAUAAGAUUCUAUCCAUGAUCAAGAAAAAGGGGGGAAUGAAAGACCCCCCCCCAGUCUUUAAAUAAUUAACUGCUCUUUUGUUGUGUAAGAGUACCCCUCCUCCCCUUGCAGUGAAAAGACCCUUCCCCCAGGGUUGAAUUCAAUGUAACUGCUCUUUUGCCUUUCUGUAACAGCUUGGCUUUUAGGGCAUGACACUUGACUCCUGUUUGAACAAGAUACCCUCUCCUAAUAGCAGGGGCAUGGUCAUGUAGGCAGGGGGCCACAUAGUCACGUAGACAGGAUGUCUUUCUGCUGAGUAAUAAGGUCUAACUUCCCCUCUUUGUUUCCCCCUUCCCGCCGCUCUCUUCGCAUGCGUGGGCUAACUGGCCAGUUCUGCUUCUGUAAGAUUGCUUUGUCUGCUUUCGCACGUGGGUCCCCUGAUCCACUCCACUGACGCCAAGUAUGCCUGUUCAAACUGUCCACCAAUCAGUUGCUCCCCACCCAAAACUUGUUUGUACCUGUCUAUAAAAACCCGGCACCACCACAGCCGGGUGUGCUCAGCUAGCAGGAGCUGCUGACCACCCGCAGGCGCGCGCUGACCACCCGCAGGCGCCUGCGUAACAAUAAAGAACCUCUUGCUGAUUGCA